CAAUGUGACAUGUUUGAUGUUACCACAUGGAGCGCUAGCAUAGCUGCAUACUGUCGUUGGUAGUGUUUUUAUAAACAUUGCCAGUAAAUACAAUUGGUGUGUGCCGACAACCACAAAAUUUAUAGAGAUGUAUGAAGCUGAUGAGGCACUUUACAACGCGAGGCACGCUGAAUAGAAAAAUAGAUUACGAAGAUUGGAGACCUGACCUAACCUAACCUAACCUAACCCUCUCCUGUACCAAGGAAUCGGAGUGUUACAGUGAGCCUGUCUUUUGCAGAUGUAGCAGUUCUUAAUUUCGAAGCUGCCUGUGUCUCAAUUCUAAAGCAGUGGAUAGGAACCUGCUAUAAAUCGCUGCAGCAACGAUAGCAAUUGCUGGAAGAGGGAAAGAAGGAUAGAAGAGGCAGAAAAAGAGGUUGUUGGGCGCGACAUUGUCUGCACAGACGUGAAGAAGGGAGGGGUAUUUACCAGAGAAUCCCAAUUAAUUCCGCUAUUUUGUGCGCAUGUUACGAUAAAUUGUGUCGUUCAUCAGCGAUAACAUUAAUCACAAAGACACCAUCAUGAGGGAAUAAAUUUCUCCUAGUCGAAGGCUUGCUGUUACUAUCAGGUUCUUAGCAACGGGAGAAAGUUACAAGAGUAUGCCAUUCUCACACAGAAUGUCUGAGCUGAGUAUUUCACACACUAUUAUUCAAGUACACACAGCAAUUUGAAAUGUACUGAAAGAUAAAUAUUUUAAGGCUCCAACAACAGAAAGAGAAUGGCAAGUGAUUGCCAAGAUGUUUCAUGAACUGUGGCAGUCCCCAAAUUGUUUAGGCGGACAACUGCAAAUCAUUUGUCACUGCAACGGAUGCAGACACGGAUGGAGUGGACAAUACAUACAUUGGUGCCACAUUGAGUGACUUGCAGCCGAUGAUGAUGAUGAUGAUGAUGAUUAUGAGGACAAAACACAACACCCAGUCCAACCCGGCCGGGAAUCGAACCCGGGCCUGCUGUAUGGGAGGUAAGCAUGUUACCACUCGGCUAAGCAGGUGGACGACCCUAUUUUUGUAAUACUAGUAAAAAGGACUUUAUCGUUAAUAAAAAUAAAUAAUUAUUGUCAAUGACAUAACUUAAAAUUUUGUAAAAAAAUAUAUCUGACAGUACCCAUGUAAAAAGAUAAUGAA